CAGUAGGGUGCCAUCAAGAGGUGUAUUA
rnacentral:rRNA from 1 species